GAGCGAGGGGCUGCGGGCCGGGCCGGCGCACCAUGAGGCCCACUCUGCCCCCACCCACAUUCCUCCACCUGUCCCUGCCUGGUGUCAGUUUCUGCCUCCCGUGGGGGGGGGGGGCUCCUUCCUGCACCCCGAGUCACCCGUCCCUGGCUGUGUCCUGCCCCACCCGGGGAGUGGGGGCACUUCUGCACCUCUGGGUUAUCCUGGGUCCCAGGGAAUAGACCAGAACCGUGGGGCUGGAGGAUGCUGUGCCCUCCCUGAACCCCAGUGACUUCACUUGUAAAAUGGGGUGGCCAUGGCAGGCCCUCCUGACCCUCCGCAGGCGCCGGGCGUGCUUUGGGCCUGUGGGGCCUUGAUCCUCCUGCCCAGCCAGGAGCCAGGGCUCUGGGCUCUAGAAGAGCAGAGAGUUGCUGCCUCUGCUUUGGCACUGCCCUCCCCCAGGGGUCAGUGGGGACCCAGUGAGCUGGUGUCUGGGUUGCAGCCUAGUAAGUGGCACCUGCUGGGAAGGUGAAGGGAAGGUCUUGGGGCUCCUGGAAUACCCCCUUUCUCCUGGCUAGGCCUUUGUCCAGCUGGGCCCAGCCUUGACUCUCCUGUGCCUUGGUGCUCUAACUUCCCUCCCAUGUCUGGACCUCCGGAAGCGCUCCCUGGGUUUCUGACCCUCCUAGGCCCUGAUUCUUGGCCCUGCCCACAGGACUUCGAGCCCCAGGAGGUCAGGAGCCAUGUGUGUCCAGUGCCUGGCCCAUGGUGCUUGGCAAGUGUGACAUCAGAGCCUCUGCUCUGGGGCCUGGGAGCCAGCAGAGGCAAGAACCACGGUGGCCCCAUUGCCCAGGCUUGAGGCAGACAGUGGCCUCAGUUGGCGGAGAGCCAGCUCUUGCCAGCACAUCCCAGGCCCCAGAUGCCACAGAAGGCCUGGCUUGCCCGGUGUCCUCUUAGGCAGGAAGGCGGUCCCAGCCCCUGUUGCCCAUUUCUAGGAAGUUUCGGGGUGCGACUGCCCAGUCUUGGCCUCUCCCUGCUGGAUGGGACAGUGGGUAGGGCUGCCACGGAGUGCUGGGACCUAGCCAGCCAGGCUGACCUGCAGGGGAACUGCCCUGAGCUCCUACUGGGGUCAGAAGCAAAAAGCAGGUGGGGAGGGGGGAGGAGGCAAAGACUCCUGGUCCACCCUAGCCUGGCCGUGUGUCUGUCCACCUUGAGCACUUGUCAGGGAUCCCUUGAAGCCCCUCAACAACCCCUAGAAGGUGGGGCUGUGGUUACCUGCACUUUCAGAUGAGGAAACUGAGGCACAGAGUUAAGCCAAGUGCCUGGGGCCCGAGGCCAGUGAGGACCGAGCCUGGAUCCCCCCAGUCCAUCCAGAGGACAGGCCCAGCAGCCCUGCCUGUCGGGUACAGAUAAAGUGAGGCAGAGGGAGGAGGAUGUUCGGGGACCUCCCUGUGACCUGGGCUCAGCAUCUUGGGAAUGUUUUAGUGUGUGGCGUGCAGGGGGUCCCCUCUGGCGCCUCUUUGAGGGGUCUCAGGAAGAUUUAAACCUGCUUCUCUAUGGUUCUGGACGUCAGGUUGGUGUUGGAUGUGACUGGGAUAAACUGGUUCCCAGGCAGCCAGGUUUCCUUGGGGUCAUGGUGAUAGAGAUGGUAACAGAAGCAGCUCCCACAGGCUGAGCGCUCACCCAGUGCCUGGUGAUGGACUCGGCCUCGGCUUGGACACUCAUCUGGAGCCUCACCAUCGCCCAGAGAGCACUCUGGGGCCUCUGCUGUUUCCUUAUACCCUGUGUCUGAAUCUGUUUGUCUCCACACUCAUUGUCACCUCCUGUUAGGCAUGAACCUGGAGAGAGUCCCAGUCUGGCCUCUCCCAUUCAUUGCUGAGUUCCCAGCACCCAGAGUCAGUCUGGUGUAGAGAAGCUGCAUGAUGCAGUUUUGUUAGAUGCAUUUCAGAUGAAGAGACUAAGGGUCAGGGAGGACACAUGGCUUGCUAAGAGGAAGCCCUGGAUUUGUUUAGCUCAAGGAGCCAAAUUUCUGACUAACCCCCUCACGUGGCCACUUGGGAGAUCCCUCCCGUCCCCUGAGAGGUGCCUGCUGUCUUCUCAAGCCUCCCACUAAAACCAGUGAGGCAGACUGGAUCUGCCCCCGGCCUCUUCCCUGUUUUCCUGGGUACUGAAUGGCAGUUGGCCAGAGUCAGCUCGGUCUUGGGGACGUUCUCUCCUCCAGACUCACCCAGUUUGCCUUUUUUCGUGUGUGUGACCUGAUUCAGAUUUCCCAUCUUUGUACCUUGGGUCCCCUCCUGCACCUGACCUUGCUGCAUGAUUUCCUGACCCAGGCAGAUCAUGCCUGAGGUUGGUCACUGUUGCUUUUCUCUCUCGUGGUUCUGGGGUGGCAUCCAGGGUCUCGGUGAGGCCAGAGGUUAUAAAUCAGAGCCCUGAUGGUUAUGCUUAAGAGUCGGCUCUACCACUGAGUGACGCUGGAGGCCUCGUUGAACCUCUCUGAGCCUUGGCCGUCCUUUGUGAAAUGGAGACAGGUUGCCGUUGAGUUGGUGUGUGGAGGCCGUCUCCCUCCGCCUGGCCGGAAGAGCGGUGCCGUCCCUUGUGCUUUGCCCAGUGACAGAUGCAUGUUCAGAGUAACAUGUUCCUAGGCUAUCUUACCUUUGUGAAAAUAUCGAGUUCACUUAUGCAAACUUAAAUGGCCUCUAGGCAAUAGAAUUUUUUUUUUUUUUUGGUACUGGGGAUUGAACUCAGGGGCAAUUUACCACUGAGCCACAUCCCAGCACCACUCCCCCCCUUUUAAAUUUUGAGACAGGGGUCUCGCUAAGUUGCUAAAUUGCUGAGGCUGGCCUCAAAUUAGUGAUCCUCCUGCCUCAGCCUCCCGAGUUGCUGGGAUUCCAGGUGUGGCCACUGCACCUGGCCAGGCAAUAUAAUCUCAUGGGCCCAUGUCUUUCAGGUGGUCCAUCGUUGACUGAAACACCGUUAUGUGGCACAUGGCUAUCCCACUGUGCCCUGCCACAGGGGUAUCCUGAACAUGGACUUCAGAGUCUGCAAUUUUUAAUCUGUCUUACAUGAAUGUCCCAUGUGUUUUGGUCAAUGUCUCUGCAGAUGAAAAGCCCCUAACAGGCUCUCUCGAAAGACCACGACCCUCUGUGGGCAGCUGACAUCUGAAUGGCUGGCCUGGCUGCCAGGUCCUGGGCUCGGCAGGAAGGCAGGACCCCUGGAGGUCACCCCCUCUUCACCUGGCCCUUUGGCAAUCGGUUUUCAAAUAUCCUGAGUUCCUGGUCCAGGCCGUGCUGGCCCCGCCGUGCUGGCCCACUGAGGGGAGUUGGGCCGGUGUUGGUCCUGUCUUGCGCAGAUGUCAAGUUUCCUUUUUAGGAAACAAACAAACAAACAAACAUGUUUUCCAUUACCAAUGUCCCCCCAUCCUCUUACUUUAAGAGUUGUUGGUUGUAAAAGAAAUCCUGGUGAACACAGGAGCGCAUGAGCACCUGCCGGCCCAUGUUGUGCUCGGCUAUCUCGGAAAGCCCCAGGCCCCAAUGCCCCACUGUGGGCAGGUCUGUGAUCUGGUGGUGCCCACCUUGCCCCCAGGGCAUCCCCCAGGCCUCCUCGAGGCGCUGCUGGCCGGUGAUCAUUUCCUGUGCGAGAAGAUGAACCGCUGAAGGUCCCGCAGGAAGGAGGGCCCUCUGUCACCCUGGGCUGGGCUGUGCUGGCCGCAGGCCCUGGCACAACCCGAGGAGCCACACGGCAGGCGGAGGCACGCGUCUCCUGGGGGAGGCGGAGUCUUCAAGGGAGCAGCGAAAACGGGGCAGAGCAUGGGCCGUCACGCUGCAGGCCUCCGGGAGAGCCCAGGCCUCGCCUGAUGGAGCGCCCUGGCCGCGUGGACACGAGAGCGGGGUCCUUCACUGUGAGCUCGGUGAGCCGGGUCGUCCCUCAGGGCAGGCUGUCUCAGGGUGCCCUGGAAAUCCCGCGGCUGCCCUGGGUGGUCCCGCACCUCCCUGGCAGGGCUCUGGAUCCGCCCUCCUGAUACCCAGGCCCCAAGAUACACCAGUCCCCAAAUAUGUGCCCAGAGGUGACCACGGCGAGCGGCAGUGUCCAGGGACUGCAAACUGCAGAGCCCUGUGCCCGCUGCUCUGGGCGCCCUCACCCCGGCCCCGGGCUCUCCGAGGUGGUGAGGUAGAGCCGGUGGGGGGGGGGCUGCGCCCCUUGGACGAGCCUGGCCGGAUGGAGGGAGGCGCCCAGGGCUCCUGCAGCUUCCUGGCCGCAGGCCCCUCCUCUCCUGCAGGUUUCAGCAAGAGUGAGUGUGUCUGCGGCUGGCGUCGCAGACUUCCCCGCAAACCUGCCCACAGGAGCCCACAUGCCGUCCCCAGGGACAGCCUGCGUGGAGGACGUGGGCGAGGAUGUUUGCACCGGGCCCUUCCCACCCGCGGCCUGUGACCACCAGCCCUGUCCUCUGCGCUGCCCGCUGGCCCCCGGCGGGGGUGGGGAAGUCCUUACUAUUUUUUUUUCUUUUUUCAGGGCUGGGGCUGGAACCCAGGGCCUGGCUGUGUUAGGCAAGGGCUGCGGGUGGGCCACAUCCCAGCCUGUUUCUAGAGAAAGAUAAGAAAGUAGAGGACCCCUCCGGCCAGUCUAAGGGAGCAGGGCCCCUCUACGGGGCAGAUUGCUGAGGGCGUCCUCUCCUGGUUCCACCGCCCGGCUGCCGCCUGUUUGCUGAGCAGUGAGCUGCUGGGGUCAUCCAGGGCCACUCAGCUCCCAGCUCCUGAGAGUGAACGGCCGGCCAGGCUGACAUCCCUGCUCAAGACACCGUACCCCGUGUUGCCUGGGGCAGCCUGGCCUGCGUAAAGGUGCAGUGACCCCCGGGGACUUUGAGGGGCUGUACAUAUGUAGAGAGCCUUGGAGGGCCCCAGGAUACCCAGGCUGAGAAGCACUGGCAAAGCCGGUUGUUGGGGGGCAGCUCUUUGACACCCCUUGGCCAUUCUCACCUUCUGUCAGGGAAGUCCUCGCAAAGCUGGGUGCCCAGGGUCUUUCUGAGUGUCAUUCACCCUGUGUGACCCUGGGGAGUUGGCUUCUGCUCUCUGACACCGGGUGCCACUGCACCUAGCUGGGCACUUGCAGCCUGGGCGUCUUGGCUGGUGCCACCCCAACCUCAGCGCCCAGCUCCCCCGCAUCGGCCAUGACCAUCACACUGGAUCUGGGUGAUGAGAGGGAGGCCAGCAACCAAGACGGCUCUCAGGAGCUGCAGCUGGGGCCCCUCUGAGAAGCUGUCUGAGGGGGACAGGGAGCCUGGGAGGGGGACAGGGAGCCUGGGAGGGGGACCGGAAGGCACGCAGCCAGUGAUGAGCAGCGGCUGAGGCUGCAUUGAGAAAGCGGUUCCAGGGCACCCAGCUCCGUCUGCCCUGAGCCACCUCUGGAUGCUGCUCAUAGGGAUUCUGCUGCGGUGGACCUGGGGGUGCUCCUGGUGAUACAGGUGCUGGGCCGGGGCCGGGUGGGGACACUGGGCAGCAGUGUUAUCAUGGGUUCCCUCCCAUCCCUGUGCCCACUGGGCUCUGGUCAGAGGGAGGUGGGCUGGUCACUGGUGUCUGGAAGAAAUGAUGGUUCUAGAAAAGCUAGAGAGCCCGCAGGUCCUUGCCAAGAAAGCCAACGCAACACGAGGGUAAAAAUCAUGUUUUUAACACAAGAAAGAGACCUCUGCCUUCCAGCAGGCGGGGCGCCUGCUCCCACCCACGCAGCCCAGGGGCCUGAGGAAUGUGGCCUCAGCCCGCCUUCCACCCCGAAGGCCGGGGAUUCGCUCUUAAAAAGUUCCCUACAAAAUGAGUUUUCUCCAUCCGCCUAUUUCCAGGCUGUUUUAAGAUCGUCGUAGUCACAUCCCUCUGAGAAACACCCACCUCUGGGCCCUGGAGCUCAGCUGGCAGCAAACACCAGGGACAGAGAAGACCCCUGGGGGUGCUCAGCGGCCCCCGGGUCACCUGGCUGCUGAGCUCCUGAGAGCUAGGGCUUCCAAGAUUGGGGAUUCCGACUUGAACCCCCAAAUGGACAGAGGUCCAUGGCCAGUUGCCGGUGCAGAGCCCUGACCACGACCAUUGGGUGAAGUGGGGGGACAGAGGUGGCCCAGGGCCAACCAGACCCUUUGCCUUAGCUGGAAAAGGAGCUGACAGAGGUCCCAUCCUGGCAGACCAACCCUCUUGUCCUUUAUCAGAUGCCACCAGUCAUACUCAAGUGCUCUAGGAACCAACCUCUGUGACACUUUGGGUAUGUGUCCCAAAGAGGUCUCUGAGGCUCUGAUACCGAGUUCCAUGGCCAAAGACUCCUGAGAAAUGGAGAGUCCACACAGCAGCCUCCUUGCUGGGCAGGCUCUGCCUUGAUAGGUCCUCGGCCUGGGAUCGCCAGCAGGAGUUUCUGCGGGUCAGGAAUUCAGACGUGGUCCAACGGGCUAGUCCUACUGUGGUCUUUCCUGAGGUUGCAGUGAAGCUGUCAGCUGCUGCUGGAGUCGUCUGAAGGCUUCUUCAUGACUCACUCACAUGGCUGGUAUGAAGGUCUCAUCCCUUGCAACUUGGAUUUCUCCAUGUGGCUGCUCAAGUUUCCUCCCAAGAAGUUUCCUCCCCAGAGUGAGUGAUGCAAGACAGCAAGACUGAAGCCCCAAGGCCUUUUAUGACCCAGCCCUGGAUGGCAAUAUGCAUAUGAGACCAUCUUGGAAGCUGGCCACCAUGGUAACCAUCGCUUCGUCCCCACAGUUGGCUUGCUGCCAUUCAGUGGACACAAGUGACCUGAGCGGAGCUGUUAACCUGUGGUGGGAAGAGAAGAGGAAGAGGCCAGGAAUCCCCGGGCCUCAUCCAGCUCAAGUAACAAGAGCUGGGGUAGCACAGCCCCGCUGUCGGGGCCUCAGUCUUGACCAGGUCAGGGCAUCGUGCCCUGCGUGCCCCGAGCUCUCAAGCAGCCUGCUCCACCUUUAUCUCUAGGUCAGCUCACUCGUUUCUACGAAGUGCAUGAGGUGUGUAAUAUUUGGGUCAUGCAGCUCCAUCCACGAAGGCAGCUCUCUUCUGGAAGUUCUGAGACACGGUUGGUGACGGUGAGCCUUGUGGGGGCGAUGAGCGCAGAGUGAACUCAGGAUGGACAGAUGCCAGCGAUGAGCAAAUAAUAAAUAGAUGAAAUACUCAUCUCAUCUCUAGGAGGGGGUUAAGUACAUUAGCAAGGCGAGGAGUCGGCGAGCCAGGGGACCCUGGGGUGGCCGGAGCCUCACUGCUGCUGUGAAAACGGCCACAUCUCUAGCUUGGGACAGAGAGGGCUCCCUGGCCGGGAGGCUGAGUGGUACUGAGCAAGCGCCUGGCACCCAAACGUGUGUGUCCCAGGCUGACCCUUGGUCAUUGGCUGUGCUGCCCAGGCAGGUGACUCCACAGCCCUGUGUCCCUGCUGCAGAGUUGGGCAAUGUGAAAUGAGGAUUCAGAGGGAUCACCCCCAUAGGGGCUCCAGAAUGUGGGUCACCAGCUGCUGGCACCCCAAGUGUGAGGGAGCCUUAUAAAAGGAGUCUUAUUGCCUGAAGGGUACAAUGACAGAGUAGAUCCCCACUCUCAGGACAGACCUUCCGUGCUGCCUGGGCCUCCUGCAGUGGUGACCCCAGAGCCUGGAAGGAGCGCAGCCCCUCCUCGGCUGGGAGCAUGUAGAAGCACGGAGCCUGCCCAGCCCCUUCCUGUCCUGUUGGGGCACGAUUUUCAAGACAGGGAGCAUCCUGGGUGUGUUUUGGCCUUGGGAGUCUCAACACGCUCCACAGGACUUAGGGCAACUCUGAGUUUGCUGUCCCAACAAAGGGACCAGGCACGGAGACAACACUCAGAGGACAGGGUGCAGGAGCCAGGGCCUGAUCCUGCAGCCGGGCGGGGCCUGGGCAUCAGCAUGGAGGCCCUGAGGCUCCACCCCUCAGAGCUGUGUGACUGUGGGCAAAUUCCUCAGCCUCCCUGGGCCUGAGUUUCCUCACACAUCAACUUCCAAGUUGGGCUUGAGAACUGCUCCUCAGUCUGUUCUGGGGACUCGGAGCUGGCCAUCAGACAGUCCCGUUUCAUCUCCUUGGCUUGUUGGUAUCCAUUAAUAAAGAGGCAGAGGAGGA